GGCGGAUCCAGCCACAGGCUUGGUAGGGCUCAAGCCCUACCGGACUUUUUGGGCCCAAAAAAAAAAUUAGGUAUAUACAUAUGUUUUUUUUUUUUUGUACCAGUCAUCUCGUUUCAAGCCCUACAGGCUACAGCCGCGACUUGCCGUCUUGCCGACUUGGACUCUCCACCAGCAACCCCUCUGGUCGUCUCCGUCACUCCGUGGACCGUGGUACCUCACCAUUCUUCUCUCCCUAGUUCUGAUUUCUGAUUUUCUGAAGUUCUGAUUUCCAUUUGAAAUUUUGAAUGAUUUGAUGAUUGAUCUUGUGAACUGUGAAGUUGUGAUUCUUGAUUUCUUCAUUUUCUUGUCUUCCAUUUAAUCUAUAUGUCUAUAUCAGUUCUGAGUUCUUGUUGGUUUUUAAGUUUUAUAGUUGAAAACUUGAAAAUUGAAAAUUGAAAUGGGAUGGGUUAUGGGUAAUGGCCAAUGGUUUCGAUUUCGGUUGGUGACUUGGUGCUACUGUCUUACUGAAUACUGAUGUUGAUGGUAUAAUUGCUAAAUUGCAGAUUUGCAGAAAUUCCCAGAUUUGCAGAAAUGAUAUAAUUGCAGAAAUUGCAGAUUUGGUAUAAUUGCAGAAAUUACAGAUUUGCAGAAAUGAUAUAAUUGCAGAAACGAAUUGAUGAGUUGAUGUUGAUUACUUGAUUUUAAUAAAGAUUUGGUAUAAUUGCAGAAAUUGGAGAUUUGCAGAAAUGAUAUAAUUGCAGAAACGAAUUGAUGAGUUGAUGUUGAUUACUUGAUUUUAAUAAAGAUUUGCAGUUUGUAGCUUUGUAUGAUUCAUGAUUCAUGAGUGUUAAGGCCUCAAACCUCAGAAGCAGAGGGCCAUAAUUCGUUUGAGAAAGCUUGUAAACAAAUAAAGGUAAAUAGGUGUUACACUAAAAUGUCAAAUCAUGAGCCGAAACCGAAGCGAUAAAAAAAAAUUACUACAUGGUUUCAAAGAACUAAUGUUUCGUCUUCAUGCUCAAAUGUGAUUUCUAAUCCUUCCAUAUCCUCUCCAAAUUUUGAUGAUCAACCGGAACCUUCAGAGUCUCCAGUGGUCAAUUCUCAACCUUUAGAGCCACCAAAUAAUAUCAAUGCUCUUGAACGUGAUCCUGGAUUACGUUCUCCCAUAUGGAAAUAUCCAGUGAAUGAGCGUGAUAGUGUUCGAAAAGCCUAUAUUUUGUUGGGUCCAUUUCAGCCUAAGUUAUCGUAUCCACUCACAAAUCAUGGGGGUCAAAAACGUAGAUUUCAGUCUUCCUGGUUCAAGGAUAAUCCAUGGCUUGAAUAUUCAAUUGCUCUUGAUAAAGCAUAUUGCUUCCCUUGUUUCCCUGGAUAAAGCAUAUUGUAUGGUCCUUCACAUUGAGAAAGAGUAUGCUGAAUCUAUUGACAAUGAUGAGGUGAUUAAAGAGUUUGAAGCUUCAUGUACUCGUAGAGUUAGAUUUAGUUAGGUUAUGCUCUUGUAUUAUAUUGCAUUGCACGUUUAUUUGAUUAUUGAGUUUGUUUUUUAAUUUUGUAUAUGCAUUAGAGGGGUAAGGCUCAUUAUGUCCCCCCUGACUAGGUGUAUCAUUUUUUCAAUUAAUAAAAUUCUCUCGCACCGUCGAGAUUCUCUA